rnacentral:rRNA from 1 species
UACGUAGGGUGCAGGCGUUAAUCGGAAUUACUGGGCGUAAAGCGUGCGCAGGCGGUUUGCUAAGACAGGUGUGAAAUCCCCGGGCUUAACCUGGGAACUGCGUCCGAUACUGGGAGGCUUGAAUCCGGGAGAGGGAUGUGGAAUUCCAGGUGUAGCGGUGAAAUGCGUAGAUAUCUGGAGGAACACCGGUGGCGAAGGCGGCAUCCUGGACCGGUAUUGACGCUGAGGCGCGAAAGCCAGGGGAGCAAACGGG